UCCCUCAUAGCUCAGUUGGUAAAGAAUCUGCCUGCAAUGCAGGAAGCCCUGGUUCGAUUCCUGGGUCGGGAA
rfam:Ovis aries breed Texel chromosome 9, whole genome shotgun sequence.